CUGGGAGAGAUUAGUUCAAGAUGGCGGAGUAGCUGGACAUGUGCUCACUCCCUCUUGAGAGAGCACCGGAAUCACAACUAACUGCUGAACAAUCAUCAGCGGGAAGACA